rnacentral:lncRNA from 1 species
AUGGUCCCUCAAGGAUGUGUCAGCAGUGAGUGGGGCUGGGGCUCCGGGUGCAGCCUGCUCUGUGGAGCUGGGUUCAGACCAUGGCAGGAACAGCGGGGAAGCUCAGGCGGGCCUCACUGUCCUCCAGAGCCCAGCGCCAGUGUGCAAGUGUGCACAGUUGGGGCGAAGCCACGUCAGUGCGCCAGAGCUGAGAGCACUUCAGGUGAAGCCUGGCAGGGCCUGAAGCAAGUCCUGUGCCACCUCUUCCCAGAAGGCCCUGCCACCUCUGCUCACAAGGCCCAUGCCUCCUCUGCCCAGAAGGCCCUGCCUCCUCUGCCCACAAGACCAGUACCACCUCUGCCCACAAGGCCCAUGCCUCCUCUGCCCACAAGGCCUAUGCCACCUCAUCCCACAAGGCCCUGCCACCUCUGCCCACAAGACCAGUGCCACCUCUGCCCACAAGGCCCUGCCACCUCUGCCCCCAAGGCCUAUGCCACCUCUGCCACAAGGCCCAUGCCACCUCUGCCCACAAGGCCCUGCCACCUCUGCCCACAAGGCCUAUGCCACCUCUGCCCACAAGACCAGUGCCACCUCUGCCCACAAGGCCUAUGCCACCUCUGCCCACAAGGCCUAUGCCACCUCUGCCCACAAGGCCCUGCCACCUCUGCCCCCAAGGCCUAUGCCACCUCUGCCCACAAGACCAGACCACUUCUGCCCACAAGACCAGACCACUUCUGCCCACAAGACCAGUGCCACCUCUGCCCACAAGGCCUAUGCCUCCUCUGCCCACAAGGCCCAUGCCUCCUCUGCCCACAAGGCCCAUGCCACCUCUGCCCACAAGGCCCUGCCACCUCUGCCCCCAAGGCCUAUGCCUCCUCUGCCCACAAGGCCUAUGCCACCUCUGCCCACAAGGCCUAUGCCUCCUCUGCCCACACCUGCAGCUCUCAGGCUGGGCAGGAAAGACUUCUCUCUACACCUCAUGUGCACAUGCUUUCUGAGCAGUCACCCACCCAGUCCCCCAGGGAGGCGGGUUCUUCCAUGGACUGAGAUUCUUUGGAAAUGAGUAUUACACCUGGGCCGCCCCUGGAAAUGACCAAGGGAGUAGGCCCCGCCUGGAAAUAAUGACCAAGGGAGUAGGCCCCGCCUGGAAAUGACCAAGGGAGUAGGCCCCGCCUGGAAAUAAUGACCAAGGGAGUAGGCCCCGCCUGGAAAUGACCAAGGGAGUAGGCCCCGCCUGGAAAUAAUGACCAAGGGAGUAGGCCCGGCCUGGAAAUGACCAAGGGAGUAGGCCCCGCCUGGAAAUAAUGACCAAGGGAGUAGGCCCCGCCUGGAAAUGACCAAGGGAGUAGGCCCCGCCUGGAAAUGACCAAGGGAGUAGGCCCCGCCUGGAAAUAAUGACCAAGGGAGUAGGCCCCGCC